rnacentral:rRNA from 1 species
GAUGAACGCUGGCGGCGUGCUUAACACAUGCAAGUCGAACGAAGCACCUUGAUUCGAUUCUUCGGAUGAAGAUCUUGGUGACUGAGUGGCGGACGGGUGAGUAACGCGUGGGUAACCUGCCUCAUACAGGGGGAUAACAGUUAGAAAUGACUGCUAAUACCGCAUAAGACCACAGCACCGCAUGGUGCAGGGGUAAAAACUCCGGUGGUAUGAGAUGGACCCGCGUCUGAUUAGGUAGUUGGUGGGGUAACGGCCUACCAAGCCGACGAUCAGUAGCCGACCUGAGAGGGUGGCCGGCCACAUUGGGACUGAGACACGGCCCAAACUCCUACGGGAGGCAGCAGUGGGGAAUAUUGCACAAUGGGGGAAACCCUGAUGCAGCGACGCCGCGUGAGCGAUGAAGUAUUUCGGUAUGUAAAGCUCUAUCAGCAGGGAAGAAAAUGACGGUACCUGACUAAGAAGCACCGGCUAAAUACGUG